rnacentral:misc_RNA from 1 species
AGCCUUGCCUAAUGUUGUGCUCAAUGCUGUGUGCUUUGUGUGCGUUGUGUUGGUGACUGGUGUUAUUAUUUUCGUUUUCCCACUUGUUUCAAUUUGUAUCUGCUCACCCAGUGAGAGAAGAAAGAAGAUAGACGCUUGAUCCCUGACUGCUACGCGCCCUUAUCCAACAAGAACAAGAACAAGAAUUUCAGACUUCAAGAGCUACACAACUGGCUACUCACUUUGGUACACAUUAUAAUAUGGCAGUGUAGGAGCAGAGGAAUUGUGUCAUCUGGAAGUCCUGGACUGCUGCUUGAAAUUGAAUGGAGAUCAUGCAUGAGUUGCAGCCAGAGCGUCCCUCGGGCGCCGACGAGCCCGACCUGCUGGAGCUGACCGCGCAGAUGGGCGAUGUGCGGAUCGGCGGCCGGCCCGUGUCGGCGCUGUUGGCCCACCAGGCGGCCCCGCCGCGGCCCGUCCCGCUCCUCUCCCAGAGCCAGUACCGGCCACCGGAGCCUGCUGUCGUGUACUCGGUGUCUGUCAGUCCGCCGCAGCCGCCGGCCGGCCUCGGGCAGCGGCCCGGCCCGCAGCUGUCCCCGAGCCACUACCAGUCCGGCUCCGGCCUGACCGCCGAGUACCUGCCGUCUUCCAGUCCGUACCAGCCAUCUGUCGGUCAAUAUAUCCCAUCUACCAGUCACUACCAGCCAUCUACCAGUCAGUACCAGCCAUCUACCAACCAGUAUCAGCCUUCUACCAGUCAGUAUCAUCCACCUGGAGGCCAGUCUUUUCCAUCCACAGGCUGGCCGGCUGCCCCUGCCGGGCCGUACCAGCCGUCUGCCACCCUGUAUGAGCCGCCACAUGGACCGUACCAGUCCCCAGCCAGCCAGCGGCAGCAGCCGGCAGGGGCCUGGCCCGCCGUGUCGGUCCCUCGGCCGCCGUCCCCGGUCAGAGUGGUCGCCCCAGCGGCGCCGGCGGCGACCUCUGUACAGGAGCGACAGAGCAGUGCAGAGCGACUGCGGCUGCAGCACGAGGCGUGCGGUCGCCUGCGGCUGGAGCUGGAUCGCACCCGGCGCCUCUGGGACCGUCUGAAUGCGGAGACGGCCGACCUGACCCGGCGGCUGGAGAGUGUGCCAGCAGCACCCCUGGUGGAUAACCGUCUCCGGUGGGCAGAGUCGAACCACCGCCUGCGCCGGGAGUGUGAUCGCAUGGUGACCGAGAUACAGGAGCUGCGGACAGCACAGCAAGUCCGUCGGAGCUCUGCCAGUUCCAGCAGCGGGGUGUCGACACUGCGACAUACUCAGUCAGGUGCCGACCCGGAGGAUGUGGGCGAGGGCCCGCCGUGGGAGUGCAGCGCGUGCACGUUCCACAACCACCCGGCCAUGUCCGCCUGCGAGCAGUGCGAGAUGCCGCGGCCGCUGACAGCUCACGACAGCGGCUGACCCGGCGGCGGUCCAUAUAGCCUCUACACAGGGUGACUGGCCUGGCUUGGUGCACUGUGCCGUAACCAAGGCCAUAUAUAGGGCCGUAACCGCCGUAACCUGUGCCCUGGGUGGAUGACGGAUUUGCCCAGCAAGAAACCUUUGCACGUGGAUUUUUGACGCACGAACCUCUACUUGGGCUUCUUUCUUGGAGCGGCUGACAUAACGCACUACAGUAGCCUCUGCCCGGGACGGCUAGUGUGUCAACCCCAACAUUAUUCUCUGCUCCGGAGCUCGCUGCAGUGUUGUUGUGAGCUCUCGCCCGCACUGUACAGUGAGUGACCCUGAAGGUAACGGUCAGUACUGUGUUAGAAAGUGCGACUGGAACAGACGCAUAGUGUACCAGAGGUGACGCUGGUCCUCCGCUCCAGCAAUGAUGGUACACACCGGGGUGCCAAUGUGGCGACGAUCGUGCCAAGUCAUGUCUGUGCUGAGGUUUAUCUCGGUGCUGGAUGAAUGCGGAAUGGAGAUGAUAGACAGUGGUGCUAUUUUAUUAAUCGUGAUAUGAAUAAUACAUUUAUUAUGAGUCUG